GGAAGAAAAAAGUCACAGAAGUACAGAGAGUACAAAUAAGGUGAACCCAAAAAGGCCCCCACCAGGACACAUCAUAAUUAAAAU